AACGAACGCUGGCGGCAUGCCUAACACAUGCAAGUCGAACGAGACCUUCGGGUCUAGUGGCGCACGGGUGCGUAACGCGUGGGAACCUGCCCUUAGGUUCGGAAUAACUCCCCGAAAGGGGUGCUAAUACCGGAUAAUGUCUUCGGACCAAAGAUUUAUCGCCUUUGGAUGGGCCCGCGUUGGAUUAGCUAGUUGGUAGGGUAAAAGCCUACCAAGGCGACGAUCCAUAGCUGGUCUGAGAGGAUGAUCUGCCACACUGGGACUGAGACACGGCCCAGACUCCUACGGGAAGCAGCAGUGGGGAAUAUUGGACAAUGGGCGAAAGCCUGAUCCAGCAAUGCCGCGUGAGUGAUGAAGGCCUUAGGGUUGUAAAGCUCUUUUACCCGGGAUGAUAAUGACAGUACCGGGAGAAUAAGCUCCGGCUAACUCCGUG
rnacentral:rRNA from 1 species